GUGCGUAUAUCCGAAUUGGUAUAGGAGCUGCACUAAGAAUGCAGUCGGGAAAGCCGGUGGAGGUUCGAGUCCUCUUACGCACA
rnacentral:tRNA from 1 species